AGUGAACGCUGGCGGUAGGCCUAACACAUGCAAGUCGAACGGCAGCACAGUAAGAGCUUGCUCUUACGGGUGGCGAGUGGCGGACGGGUGAGGAAUACAUCGGAAUCUACUUUUUCGCGGGGGAUAACGUAGGGAAACUUACGCUAAUACCGCAUACGACCUACGGGUGAAAGCAGGGGAUCUUCGGACCUUGCGCGAUUGAAUGAGCCGAUGUCGGAUUAGCUAGUUGGCGGGGUAAAGGCCCACCAAGGCGACGAUCCGUAGCUGGUCUGAGAGGAUGAUCAGCCACACUGGAACUGAGACACGGUCCAGACUCCUACGGGAGGCAGCAGUGGGGAAUAUUGGACAAUGGGCGCAAGCCUGAUCCAGCCAUACCGCGUGGGUGAAGAAGGCCUUCGGGUUGUAAAGCCCUUUUGUUGGGAAAGAAAAGCAGCAUGUUAAUACCCCGCUGUUCUGACGGUACCCAAAGAAUAAGCACCGGCUAACUUCGUG
rnacentral:rRNA from 1 species